CCUACGGGAGGCAGCAGUAAGGAAUAUUGGACAAUGGUCGCAAGACUGAUCCAGCCAUGCCGCGUGCAGGAUGACAGCCCUAUGGGUCGUAAACUGCUUUUGUGCGAGAAAAAACCCCUCUACGUGUAGAGGGCUGAUUGUAUCGUAAGAAUAAGGAUCGGCUAACUCCGUGCCAGCAGCCGCGGUAAUACGGAGGAUCCAAGCGUUAUCCGGAUUCAUUGGGUUUAAAGGGUGCGUAGGCGGAAUGAUAAGUCAGUGGUGAAAGCCUGCAGCUUAACUGCAGAACUGCCAUUGAUACUGUCAAUCUUGAGUACAUUUGAUGUGGGCGGAAUGUGUCAUGUAGCGGUGAAAUGCUUAGAUAUGACACAGAACACCGAUUGCGAAGGCAGCUCACAAAACUGUAACUGACGCUGAGGCACGAAAGCGUGGGUAUCAAACAGGAUUAGAUACCCUGGUAGUCCACGCUGUAAACUAUGAUUACUCGAUGUUUGCGAUACACUGUAAGCGUCUAAGCGAAAGCGAUAGUAAUCCACCUGGGAGUACGCUCGCAGAGUGAAACUUCAAAGGAUUGACGG
rnacentral:rRNA from 1 species